GGUUCUAUGGUGUAAUGAUUAGCACUCUGGACUCAGAAUCCAGUGUUUCGAGUCUCGGUAGAACCU
rnacentral:tRNA from 1 species